rnacentral:tRNA from 1 species
GGAAAUGGAGUUUGUUUAAAAUUCUUAAAUUACGAUUAAGAGAUUCUAGUCUUAUAGACUUUUCCA